AGCAACGUCGUCAGAUUUGAGUCCCGUGA
rnacentral:sRNA from 1 species